CAUCAAGCUCGAAACCAAAGACAUCUGAAUUAAACAAGUUAUCAGCAAGAGCAAGAGAAUAUGUCUGGGUACCGCAGGUCUCAAAUUCGCUACACCCCAACAGGAGGGCCGACUUUUAACAGGAAUGCUUCCGAUGGAUCCCAAGCCAACACUGUCGGGUGCGGGAACCAAGUCGAUUCUAGGAUGAACGAUUGUUAUGGUAACUAUAAACACGACACCACCCAGAAUUACAGUGGUAAGUUUGCUAACUUCAAUGCUGGAGAGCACAAUAACUCCAAGAACGAUCUGGGUGGAACUUUCAAUAUGUAAGGAGAGCUGGAAGGAUUAGUGUUCUUACAUUCAUGUAAUGUAAGACUUCUAUGUAUGAAGUAAUUAAAUAAAACGAGGCUCCUAGGUCUCUUUUCGUUUUACUAAUUUUCUUCGUUAUUGCGAACUAAUCAUAUUUUCUUCUUCAAAAUUAAAUAACAAACUAGUUAACGAUAAACAUGCAAUCGAAACACCAUUUGAAGAAUGUAAAUUAGAGAUCAUCUGUAACUUUUCUGAAAUUCGUUAACUUUGACUUAGGAUAACCCCUUCUUGUUCAUUAAAAUUGGUUCCUGAACUUCAGUCUACUGCGAGACGAGUUCUUCAACUCAAAAGGUUGUUCAUUAACCGUGUCUAAGAAGUAAUUACUAAAGUAAAAUUCAGCUCUGCCGAAACUCGGAAAUUGGACGUGCGUAGGAUCCAUUUCUGAUUGCAAGUCGAUAGCCAGGACAAGUUCUGACCUUCGUUUGUGGGAUUGGCCAUGCACAGCACUGUAGAAAUUCUCAAUACAAAAUUCCCAAAACAAAGUGGAACAAGUAAUAAACUCUAAUCCUCUCUUUUCUAAUACAUUCACUAAGUAUAAGAAACAUUCGAGCUCAGGAACAAGGCUACUAAGACUGUAUCUUGGCGUUGGAAUUGCUCUCCGGUUCUCGACUACUACCACGUCUGGACGGAAGCAUGCUGGAUUCUUGAAACCAUGAAUGGACUUCUUUAAAUUGUAUUCUAGUAAUUCUAUGUACUAAUAAUUCAGUAAAACUUUUUUUUUCUUAUAAAAAAGAUUAUAUUUUAAGAAAUUUAAUGUUAAUAUAUUAACUUAUUAAUAUACUAAGAUGAUACACGAAUAUAAGUUUAUAACAUAUAUUAUUGUAAUUUAAAUUACUAUAUAUUAUUAAUUGUAAGUCAUGAUGCAUACCAAAACAAUUGUGGUAUAGAGCAUAUAUCCACUGGACAUGCCUUAUCUCUAGUGGCUGCGGCUUUCAGAUGCCUCAACUCGGAAUUUGUUUUUUAAUAAAAUCAUACAAGUUAACAUGUGCAAUUUCUUAUCACAUAGUAAUAAUGUAUGAAGAGAUACGAUCAACAUAUAAAGCCGAUUCGUUCUCAUCCCAAGUUGUUACCCUGUCCAUAAGAUAAACAUCUAUAUAAGGCACUCGAUGGGGUGCUCUAAAACUCAUCGAGCCACCGAAUUAAGAGAUUUGGAUUAAACAACUGAUCAACGAGAGUUUCGCCAAUGGCCGGGAGGUAACCUCAAUACAGGAGGCCAAUGCGAUAUGAAAUACCAUACGAGCCAGUCCCAGGGCCUACUUUUAACAACAAUGGCAGCGUUGGAACGCAGGCCAACACUGUUGGAAAUGGUAACUACGUUGAUUCUCGAAUUACCGGCAGUUAUAACCAUCGUAACUACAACAAAACUGAGAAUUACAGUGGUAAAUUUGCUAACUUCAAUGCUGGCAAAUACAACGAUUCAAACAACAAUCUGAGUGGAACUUUCAAUAUGAAAUAAUCUCCCAUGGUCUGCCAUGAGGAGUAACUAAUCUUACGUUCAUGUAAUGUAAGACGUUUAUCUAUGAAGCAAUUAAAUAAAAGAAUGUUCUGCUAUCUGUCUAAUUACUGGCUCUUUUUAUUUAUUUUAUUAGCUAAGUUUUUGUUUAAUGAGUUCAAUUAACCAAAUUGAAAUUUGUAAUCCCAAAAAGUUAUAUCGUAAUCCUGAUUAGAAUCAAUAUGAGAAUCUAUAGUAACUUAUAUAUUUGUAAAGAAACUGAUAAAAGAAGUACACUGCAGCAAGAACUUCAUAACCGAGUAAGAAACUUGUAUGUCGAAAAAUAUAAGAUGCUCCAGAAGCACAAAUGAAUUACAAGGUAUAAUAAAUUAUUAACAAAUUUUGAAUUUUGGUUCUAUGAUUUUUUGACAAAAUUUUGAAACAAAUCAAUUAUAUUUAUCAAGUCUACCAACUUAUUUGUGUUCUUGGAAUACCUGAUGAUUGUUAUCAUCAGAGCUCUCUUUUUACCCUAUAACUAAAAGUAUGAGUUGAAUUAUCAACCAGAUCCUUGUUAAGUCUGCAAAGAGAUCGUAACACAAUGCGAGGAACCUGUCCUGAUUUAGAAAGAACUAAAGAAGAAUUUGGAAGUACAUGAACGAAGAACAAGAAAGGAUUUGGAGAGAAUAAGAAAAAAUAGCAGAAGAUUUAGAGAUAAGAAAAAUUAAGAAGAGAAUAAGAAAUCCUAGACGACUGAUUCAAUUCAAAAGGAUUUGUGUUUACAAAAAUUAUCUGCUCAUAAUCUCCAUUUCUUUCUCUUUUAUAUCAGUUUCUCUAAUAGCAGCAAAGCAGAAAUUACAACUAUUCUCUAAUUAAUUUUCAUUAAUCCAGACAACCAAACUAGUUAUUAUCUCCAAAACUAACCAAUAUGAAAUUUGGGUCCUGACACAUACAACAUGGCAAGCUUUAUCUAAUCGAUCUCUCAUGUUGAGAUUUUCACCCAGAUCAUUUUGGAGUCACAUUUCCCUUGGUUGAAAUUGGCAAAUUUACUUCUGUAAUUCUUAGUACUGGGUGUGUAGGCGUGUUGUAAGACUUAGUGAGGGAAAAUGUUCGGAUAGUUGUUGUCUCCAACAGUUUUCGGCCUGGGGAGAUAAUGCUUGCCAUUGUUGUUAAAGAUAGGCCCUGGAACAUGCCAACGCUACGAACAUUGCACGUGUAGUUUUAUUCUAUUCUCAAACUGUUCUAUCAAAGAAUUCGAGCAUACAAGUAUUCGGAAAAUAGCAAGCACUAAUAAAGAACAACGGCUUGUAGAUAUUAGCCAACAUGAUAUUUUUUCUUUUUCCCCCUUUUGAGGAUAUAUGCUCAUCCCAAUUGCGAGGAAUGUGAUUCUACGAACUAAAUUCUAUAUUACUUUAUACUCUACUUUGGAGGAAAGAAGAAAAACAAGUUUCUGCAAAAUUUUUCUAUAAUUUUUUUCUGACAAAGACUUGAAUUAGACUCUGAAAAUGUUCAUUUCUAGUUUUGUAGCAGCUAAUUGUAAUUUCUGUAAGAACACAUAGAUAUAUACCAAUAGAAAUAAUAACUAUUGAGGUAAAAGGGUCAAAAGACCCAAAAUGAAUAAUGCAUGUAAUUGAUUACACACACACACACUCAUAUAUAUAUAUAUAUAUAUAUUCUACUGUUAGUAGUAGAUCUUCUUGAAUUCCAGAAGAAACCAACUUACCCCAAUAUAGAGAGCUUUAGAAACAAAAUUUUUACCUCUAGUGCGUCGGAUGCUUUAGUAACAACUUUAUGUCUAGUGCGUUGGUAGUGCUUAUUGCUUUCAGAUGCCUCUUUUUAUCUCCUGGAAUUUCUUAUCAAAUCAGUCGAAUUUUUAGUCCGAUAAUGAUGGAUUGCUUCUCAUCUCAUCCCAGUCCUUACAUAAAUGUCUAUAUAAGGUGGCACUCGACGGCCAUUAAAAAUCAUCAAGCUCGAAAUUAAAGACAUCUGAAUUAAACAAGUGAUCAGCAAGAGUAGGAGAAAAUGUCUGGCUACAGAAAUGCUCAAAUCCGUUACACCCCGACCGGAGGGCCUACUUUUAACAGAAAUGCUUCCAGUGGGUCUGAAGCAAACACUGUUGGGAACUGUAACAAAGUCGAUUCUCGGAUGAACGAUUGUUACAAUGAGCAUAAAUAUGAUACCACUCAGCACUACAGUGGUAAGUUUGCUAACUUCAAUGCUGGAGAGCACAAUGAUUCCAAGAACAAUCUGAGUGGAACUUUCAAUAUGUAAGGAGAGCUGGAAGGAUAAAUAAUCUUACAUUCAUGCAAUGUAAGACUUCUUAUGUAUGAAGCUAUGAAAUAAAACAAGGCUCUCUUUUAUAUAUAUUCUAUUUAGCUUCUUCAUUUUUCGAGCUAAUAUGUUGCGUUUCCAAAUAUGAAUAAUUAACAUGAAGAAUUGCGCCAACCCGUAAGAUUACAGAUUAAGUUUACUUGUCCGAAAUUUGGUGGUUAUAUCGCACUCUCACACAAAAGAAAGGGAACUCAAUUACAUUUCCAAAAAAUCACUUAAAAAAACAACUUAAGAAAUCAUUUGGUGAACUCAAAGUAGAAUCGUAAACUCAACUGAAGCGUAAUCGAACACAACUAUGUAACUAGAGAGGAUUUUUUGCACCGAAAACCGAAC
rnacentral:lncRNA from 1 species